CUUCCUUUUUUUCUUUCUUUCUUUCUUUAUUUUUAAUGCAUACAUUUCGCCAUGUCACCCUCGAUCUCCUGUAAUCAUCUAAAAGCAUUUUUCUCCGUGCAGAGAAUUUUUAAAUUUCCGGGCGCUCGAUGGAUUAAAACGUGAAACUUUUUCAAAUUUCGAAGAAAAUAAUAGAUAGACGCGUAACACAUAGACCGGCCUGUUUAUAAUAAGUUUAAUAUCACCCAUUGAAACGAAAUACAAACAUCAUGAAUAUUUAUUCUUCUUAUAUUAAGAAAAAUCGUUUCGAGACGAAUCGGAGAAAAAAUUGUUGGAUAAGAAUCGAUAAAAAUAUUUUUACGAAUAUUUAUUCGCGUGAAAUAAAUUUGAAUCCGUUCGAGUCAACGAGAUGCAGGUACUAAGUUUUUUUACGGUUUUAUGAAAAUAAACAGUGAAAUUUCACUCGGUUCGAGAAAGGAGAAGAAUUCGAUCGGAAAGUUCAACGCGCUUCUCGUAAACAAAGUUUCGUGGAAGAAAAUAGCAGGUACGGAGAGAACGAGCGAAACGUAGAGGAGAAACGAGAGAUUCCAUUUCGUGGGACGAGCAUGGAAAAACUCGUGUACAUAUACGAGUGGGUAACGAAAGUACUCGAACGCUUAUAUUUGCAACUUUUGCGACGAACGAAAUAUACACGUUGAAGGAACUUGUUUACACAAUGAAGGAUGGAUAGAUAUCAAGAUUAUAUCGGCAAAAUUUGAAAAUUUGAUUCACCAAUUUAUGCGACAAAUUUUCGCUUAACGACACGUGACUUUGAAAUACGCAGAAGUUGAUAACAAAAUUUUCUGUAAUAUUCUACUAAUAAACGUAUUAUCCGCAUAAAACAUGUGUAAAGACUUCAUCGCGACAAAAUUUUCGUAUAACAUUUUAACUUGGAAAUACGAUUACACGGGAAUCAUACUACGUUGAUAACAAAAUUUUCUGUAAUAUUCUACUAAUAAACGUAUUACGAUCCGCAUAAAGCAUGUGUAAAGAUUUCUAUACAAUCUAUACCUAUGUACAAAAUUUUCGUACACGUUAAUUUUGAAAUGCGCAGGAUACUGCGUUGAUAAAAAAAUUUUCUGUAACAUUUUACUAAUAAAUGUAUUACGAUCUGCGCAAAACUUUUUAAAACGUGUACCUACAGUGGAUAACGAAAGUAUUCAACGUACGUUUACAUAUUUGAAACGUUUCAACGUUUUACGUUUUGAGGAAUUAAAUAUAAACGUUAAAGGAACUUGUUUGAAACAAUGUAUGCUAGAAUGGAAAUCUCAAGAUUACGUAGGUAAAAUUUAAAAAUGAUUCACCAAUUUAUGCAGUAGUUAUAAUACGUUUAUAUUAUAAACACGUACGAUUAAUAGAUUAGAAAAGUAUUCGAACGCUUCAUAUAUGCGAUAUUAUUCGAUAUUAAUAUUUUGUACUACCUUUCGUGAUAAUUUGUCUCGAUCAACGUUUCAGACGCUGUGAACCAGAUUUUCUAAGAUCACGAUCGAUGGAAUUCCAUAUUUUGUAUAAUUUUUCCUCCAAGCAUCCGCCUUCAGGAUAUUUAAAAUUUAUUUAUAUAAUUUUUCGCCUAUUUAUGGACUCACAAAUUUUCGACGGGGAUUUAUACACAGAAUUUCUGGAGAGGAUCCAAUGACUGGCGGAUGGUUUCCAUGGUAAAUCUCGACCGGUUUCUCGGAAGAUUAACGACGAACGUAAUUCGGAAAGUGGUUCGAUUCGGAUGGAAAGAAAUACGCGGUGUUGUCGGAUCGAUUUUUUCUCCCCUCCCUCUUCCCCAAACCAAGCAGAGAAUUUAUCGUAACAUUCGCACUUUCGCGCAGUGUCGCGGUUAAGCUUUCGACUCAAAGUUGUUCGCAAUAAACUAAACGUGCGUAACUGCAGCGUGCUCGAGAUCGUGGAAAAGAUAUAUAUUACAGGAGGAGGGGAGACGUAUGUCGUUCAAUCGCCACUUUACACGUAGCCCGCGCGACUGUAAGAGAUGGUUUUUCUUUUCGGCCAGGCAUUGAAGCACGAAUACGUGCUCUUGCCGCGUAUUCUGCAUCUUCCACUCGAGAAGGAAACGUCUAAGUGAAAUCUCGUAAAAGAAUCAUAACGCAGAAGGACGAAUGGAAUUUUUACCGGUGAAAAUUCCGAUUCGAGGAACGGUGCACGGAUUAAUCAGCAAGACCGGAAAUCUGCGUAUUCCAAUGUGUGUCGUUUCUUCUGUGGGGAAAAAGCGUGACGUCGCGACAGACUUUUUUCGCAUCAGCAUCCCCGGGUACCGGGGCCAGCACACAGAGAAGGCACAUUCAACUUCCUCGCCAAGUUUUUCCACCUCGAACAAGAAAAGGUAGCGUGGAAUGGAACCGCGUGGCAAGAAAAAUGAAGCCAGGUGAAGAGCAGGGAAAAAUAGAUAAAAAAUAUAUUUAUCGAAGAGAUUGAAAGGAGAUCGAAAAUAAGAACUUCUUCGCCCCUCCUUCUCUUUUUCUACGUAAAUAAUUACGUAUAUACGAUUUCGAAUCGCUCUUCUUCUUUUUCUCUCUUUUUUUUUUUUUUUUAAAUUAGGGCAGACCGAUACGAGGACGAAAAAACGAUAAAGCGGGGAAAGGUAGAGCGAAUCAAUCGAACGUGUAACGAGUACGACCCAGUUUUUCGGCAAAAAGGCUUUUGAAGAUGGCUUUGCGUCCUUUCCUUGCCAUCCCUCAGACUCCGCGGUUAUUCUUUUCGCCAUACGAUUCUCUCUUUCCAAGCCAUCCAGCGAAUGGAAAUUCUCAUUGUUGCAAACGUACGCCCCUUUUUCGAAUAAUACAGUUACGAAUAAUAAUAACAAUAAUAAUAAUGAUGACCACGAUGACGAUGAUAAUAAUAGGGAAAUAGUAGCGCGAGCUCGUUAUAUCGAGCGUAUUCUGCGUUUUAUUUAGGUUAGGCAGAAACGAAUAUCCUAAAUUUGUAGAAAUUUAGAUAGAAGUGGAUCGACCGCUUUUCAACGUAAUUCCUCGGGGAGGGGAUCGCGCGAAAUAUCGUUUUGUUUUCACUUCGAAAACAAAAUAUUAAUAAAAAUAUAAAAAUAUAAGAAUGAAAAUAUUAAUAUAAAUGUAUUAAUAAAAAUAUAAAGAUAUUAUUAAAAAUAA